UGUUGUUUCAAAGCUUUCUGUUUUAUUUUCUGCAUCAUGAAACCACGUAGAAGGCGACAUGACUAUUUAUCCAGUGAAAUACAAGGAAGGCGAUACGAAAAGAAGCCCAAGAAGACUGCAAUUAAAAGGAAUGAACAGAUAGAUACUGAACAAUUUUUCAAUGUAAAAAGAAAAUUACGAACAGUUUCUGAUUCGGGUAACUCGAUUGUUGAUGAAGCAGCAGCUCAGUUAUCUAAUUCUCGGUUUGUCGAUGAAGAUGAGCUUUCUGUCGAAGGAAGAAUGAGCAAUACAGUCAACGAAUCCUCUCAGGAGCACUCGUAUCAUGGAGAUAAUAACGGGAUCCCCGAAAAUACAAAUCUGUUGCGUUCUAUCCAAGACGACAAUGAGACUAGGCUGCUAUAUUGAACGAGAAAACUAGUUUAUUUUUUGGUCACAGUUAUAGUUUUUAACAGAAACUGCCGUCGCAUAGCUGUUUUAAAAUUAUAGGUAAUGGAAUGCUUCUUUAAUUUUGCACUGGCAAUAAUAAACCCAUUCUUCAAGUCGAGAAGAAAUAUUAUCUGAAUAAACUUUGUCAUUUUAAAGAUGCCCCUGAGGAUUCUGUCAUCA